AAUCCUGCCAGGAUUCUAGAAUAUAAUGUUAUGCCUUUAAUGAUGCAAAUUAAUAAACAACUGAAAGAUAUGAGAACAGCAGAGAUAUCAUGGACAGGUAGAAUCAAUGUUGUAAAGGCUUACUUGAUCCCCAAAUGGAGCUAUGUAUUCCGUAUGUUACCAUUGAAAAUGCCUAAACCAUGGCUCAUGAUGAUUCAAUCAGCCUUAGACAAAUAUAUAUGGUUGGGGAAAAAACCUAGGGUUAGCAAAAAAAAUUUGAACCUAAAGCCUAAAUUAGGAGGGAUGGGAGUUCUCAACAUUACAGAUAUAUAUGAAUCUUGCUCAUUGGCACAUAUUAUAUCUUCUAUGAAAGAGAGCUCUAGGGGAGAAUCAUGGGCAAAGAUUGAGGCUAAAAAAGUGGAAGUUCCGGAUUUAAUGGCUCUAUUUUGGAAUAUACACAAGGGUGAGAGAGAUGAU